rnacentral:tRNA from 1 species
GCCUUCGUGGUGUGAUGGUCAGCACACUCGGCGCGUAUUCGAGAGGUCCGAGGUUCGAGUCCCGGCGAGGGCA